UAUGUGUUGAAGAUACUGAACAAUAAGAUUGGAAAAAUCUGAUACUCAAGAAACAUUAAAUAUGUUGUUGAGAAAUCAAGAAAAAAUACUGAUGGAGAUAAUUCUUCUGAAUAUAUUCCUUCGUCUACAAGCGAGUCAUCAAUUUACUCAGAUACAGAAAAUGAUAAUACAAAGAAUAAUAGGAAAAA